CGCGCUAGGACCUGGAGGGCUAGUCGGCGGGCUGCGCGUCCGGCCGCUAGCUGAGCUGGAGGCCACCGGCCAGAGCCGACCCCAGGAGUGAGAGAGACAGGGGCGUGCGUGAGUUCCGGCGGCCUGCACCGGGCAAACCCCGUACCUUCCCAGCAUCGGCUCAGCAACCCACGUGCAUCCAGGCCGGUCAAUGUCAUUGAGUCACCUCCGCGCCUUGGCCACCCUGGAGUCCCGAGAAUCCGAAGUUCCAGACAAAUGCCCAAACUACAUUCCUGCAUGUUCGAAAGCGUAAAUUGCAAAGCACAAAUCCAGUUGUAGAUUGUGGCCGGGAGCAGUGGCUCACGCCUAUAAUCCCAGCACUUUGGGAGGCCGAGGCGGACAGAUCACGAGGUCAGCACUUCGAGACCAGCAUGGCCAACAUGGUGAAGCCCCAUCUCUACUAAAAAUACAAACAUUAGCCAGGCAUGGUGGUAGGCCCCUGUAAUCCCAGCUACUCGGUAGGCUGAGGCAGGAGAAUCACUUGAACCCGGGAGGCAGAGGUUUCAGUGAGCUGAGACUGCACCAUUGCACUCCAGCCUGGGCGACAGACCAAGACUCCAUCUCAAAAAAAAAAAAAAAAAAGUUAUAGAUUGUAAGGAAAAUACCCCCAAGGAAGUUGAGGACACAGCAGACUUGGACUGUCUCCAAACCUGUUCAUUCUUCUGAGUGCACUGCUCGGAGCAUCCUAUUGGGCAGCAUAUCCUGGCCUCCUUUCCAGUUCGAUGUGGUACUAUACCUGAUUUCUGGCCAAUAAAAUAUGAGAGGACAUGAAAUUCAACAGCCCCUGGGCUUGGCUUAUAAAACCUUCCAUGCAAUCCUCCACACCUUUUCACCUCUCAGCUGCUGAGACUUUUCUAGGCACUACACAGAAGCAGCCUGGGUCUCCAGUAGCAAAGGAGAGCAGAUCCUUCUCACUAUCCUGCACCGAACUGUGACAUGAGCAAAAAAUAAAGUUUUUAUUUUCUUACACCAUUGAGAUUUGAGGAUUGCUAGAGCAGUUAGUCUUCCCAGCCUAAUACAGUAUUAGUAGAGGACAAUUAGGCCAGACACAGUAGCUUAUGCCUAUAAUCACAGCAGUUUAUAAGGCCGAGGUGGGCAGAUCACCUGAUGUCAGGAGUUUGAGACCAGCCUGGCCGACAUGGUGAAACCCCAGCUCUACAAAAAAUACGAAAAUUAGCCAAACAUGGUGGCACGUGCCUGUGAUCCCAGCUACUCAGGAAGCUGAGGCAGGAAAAUCUUCAAGCCAGGAGGCGGAGGUUGC
rnacentral:lncRNA from 1 species